ensembl:snRNA U6 U6 spliceosomal RNA
GUGUUUACUUUGGCAGCACAUACACCAAAUUGGAAAUGAUAGAGGUUAGCAUGGCUCCUGCACAAGGAUGAAAUGGAAAUUUGUGAAGUGUUCCAUAUUUAA